CGGCGAGUGAAGCGGCAACAGCUCAAAUUUGAAAUCUGGCCCUCGCGGUCCGAGUUGUAAUUUGCAGAGGAUGCUUCGGGCGCGGCGUCGACCAAGUCCCCUGGAACGGGGCGCCAUAGAGGGUGAGAGCCCCGUCGGGUCGGCCGCCAAGCCUGUGUGAAGCUCCUUCGACGAGUCGAGUAGUUUGGGAAUGCUGCUCUAAACGGGAGGUAGACCCCUUCUAAAGCUAAAUAUUGGCCAGAGACCGAUAGCGCACAAGUAGAGUGAUCGAAAGAUGAAAAGCACUUUGAAAAGAGGGUUAAACAGUACGUGAAAUUGUUGAAAGGGAAGCGCUUGUGACCAGACGUGCGCCGGGUGUUCAGCGGGCGUUCUCGCCCGUGUACUCACCCCGGCGCAGGCCAGCGUCGGUUCGGAUGGGGGGAUAAAGGCCCUGGGAAUGUGGCUCCUCCGGGAGUGUUAUAGCCCAGGGCGUCAUGCCCCCGCCCGGACCGAGGUUCGCGCUCUGCAAGGACGCUGGCGUAAUGGUCCCCAGCGGCCCGUCUUGAAACACGGACCAAGGAGUCGAGGUUUUGCG
rnacentral:rRNA from 1 species